ACUGCAUUGGUCCUUACAGAAAUGUUUCACGUGUAGAUGAUGAAGAGAGGACUUCUAGAAAGUGAUUUGUGUCUUUAUCAGUCUGAACAGUCUUGAGAUGCCCAUCUCUCACUAUGGCCUGUGUCAGAUCAGGUGGCCUGGCACGACAUGGAACAGACCUGUGCCUGUAACACAGGUGAUGCAAGCACCUGCUGGAAGACAGCUGCUCUUGAUGUGCUUUGCCAAGACACGUGUGGUCGUCGUUUUUACAGAGUGCUGCCUCUCAGCAGUGAUAAAGUCAUACGAGUUGUUCCUGAGAGCAAGAGGGAAACACAGAUCCUGAGGGCUGCAUUCAACAGGCUUAAGAUAUAAAUGAAAAGCAGAGGUGCCACUGCAGCAGUGCAGCACAGGAGCACUCAGCAGCACACUGCUUUGCUGGAACAGGAACAGAGGCAGUCUUUCCAGAGCAGUCUGUCUCAGAGGAUGGGGACUACCUGUAAACCAGGUCUGUGGUCCCGAAAAAAGGGCGGUAUCAUGCACGUGCACUGUCCCCAGGCACUGUGGGGAAGGGAUAAACUUCAUUAAUAGUUACCAAAACAGAAGGAGGAGAAUCAGGGAUGUAACAGCUUGAUCAAUAUGUUGAGUGCCACAGCAUUUGAAGCAUGUGCAAAAGCUUUGGGCUGCUCACUGCCUUCAACUCCAGUAAACUAUGAUGUAAUCAUAGUCUAUGAUGUCUGUGAUGUAAUUCUGCCUCUCUUGUUGAAAACUUACAUAAAUGAUUGUGUUCUCAGUGAGAAACAAAUGAAGGUGCAUGUAAUUUUCUAGUCCAAUAGUUCACAUCUGGGAUACAAGUAAAUCAAGUGUUUGUCUGCAUACCAAAUAAAACAAAAUGAAGGUGUUAGAAGAGCUCUUAC
rnacentral:lncRNA from 1 species